AUUGAACGCUGGCGGCAGGCCUAACACAUGCAAGUCGAACGAGUGGCGGACGGGUGAGUAAUGUCUGGGCAACUGCCUGAUGGAGGGGGAUAACCACUGGAAACGGUAGCUAAUACCGCAUACCAUCGGAUGUGCCCAGAUGGGAUUAGCUAGUAGGUGGGGGAAAGGCUAACCUAGGCGACGAUCCCUAGCUGGUCUGAGAGGAUGACCAGCCACACUGGGACUGAGACACGGGCCAGACUCCGACGGGAGGCAGCAGUGGGGAAUAGUGCACAAUGGGCGCAAGCCGGAUGCAGGCAUGCCGCGUGUAGGAAGAAGGCCUUCGGGUUGUAAAGUACUUUCAGCGCGGAGGCGUUACCCGCAGAAGAAGCACCGGCUAACUCCGUGCCAGCCGCGGUAAUAC
rnacentral:rRNA from 1 species